CUCAGAUGGAAACAUGGCAGAAAUGGACUCAUACUCUCUGACACGUGUUGGCUACGCUAAGAAGGCAAGUAGCCAGCUUGGUCCCCAGCAUCUUAAUGUUAAAGUCAUAUCAGCCAUGAGCUUUUGUCUGGUUCCUGAUCCAAUGUCAACAGUCAUUUUUCACCCCCCUGGACCCAGGAUUCUGGAACUAAAAAAAGAAAUUCUGUUUGUCCAGAGAGUCCCUUGACAAGCUCUCCCAGAGAGGGCAGCUCCUCAGCGAAGAAAGCCACGGUGCUGGAAAGGGAGGCCGCCGGUACACCCAGCUACUUACCAGCUACCAAAACCUUCUCAGAGUAACCAAAGAGAGGCUGCGCAGCUGUCAGCUGGCCCUACAGGAGCACGAAGCUCUUGAAGAAGCCACACAGAGCAUGUGGUCCCGGGUAAAGGAUGUGCAAGACAAGUUGGCUUGUUCGGAGAGCACUCUUGGGAACAAGGAGACGUUAGAGGGACGAUUGUCACAGAUUCAGGAGAUUCUCCUCAUGAAAGGCGAAGGAGAAGUCAAGUUGAAUAUGGCCAUUGGCAAAGGGGACCAGGCCUUAAGAAGCAGCAACAAGGAGGGUCAGCAGGCGAUCCAGGCUCAGCUGGAGACACUUAAAACAACGUG
rnacentral:lncRNA from 1 species